rnacentral:rRNA from 1 species
GGUUAAGCGACUAAGCGUACACGGUGGAUGCCCUGGCAGUCAGAGGCGAUGAAGGACGUGCUAAUCUGCGAUAAGCGUCGGUAAGGUGAUAUGAACCGUUAUAACCGGCGAUUUCCGAAUGGGGAAACCCAGUGUGUUUCGACACACUAUCAUUAACUGAAUCCAUAGGUUAAUGAGGCGAACCGGGGGAACUGAAACAUCUAAGUACCCCGAGGAAAAGAAAUCAACCGAGAUUCCCCCAGUAGCGGCGAGCGAACGGGGAGCAGCCCAGAGCCUGAAUCAGUGUGUGUGUUAGUGGAAGCGUCUGGAAAGGCGCGCGAUACAGGGUGACAGCCCCGUACACAAAAAUGCACAUGCUGUGAGCUCGAUGAGUAGGGCGGGACACGUGGUAUCCUGUCUGAAUAUGGGGGGACCAUCCUCCAAGGCUAAAUACUCCUGACUGACCGAUAGUGAACCAGUACCGUGAGGGAAAGGCGAAAAGAACCCCGGCGAGGGGAGUGAAAAAGAACCUGAAACCGUGUACGUACAAGCAGUGGGAGCACGCUUAGGCGUGUGACUGCGUACCUUUUGUAUAAUGGGUCAGCGACUUAUAUUCUGUAGCAAGGUUAACCGAAUAGGGGAGCCGAAGGGAAACCGAGUCUUAACUGGGCGUUAAGUUGCAGGGUAUAGACCCGAAACCCGGUGAUCUAGCCAUGGGCAGGUUGAAGGUUGGGUAACACUAACUGGAGGACCGAACCGACUAAUGUUGAAAAAUUAGCGGAUGACUUGUGGCUGGGGGUGAAAGGCCAAUCAAACCGGGAGAUAGCUGGUUCUCCCCGAAAGCUAUUUAGGUAGCGCCUCGUGAAUUCAUCUCCGGGGGUAGAGCACUGUUUCGGCAAGGGGGUCAUCCCGACUUACCAACCCGAUGCAAACUGCGAAUACCGGAGAAUGUUAUCACGGGAGACACACGGCGGGUGCUAACGUCCGUCGUGAAGAGGGAAACAACCCAGACCGCCAGCUAAGGUCCCAAAGUCAUGGUUAAGUGGGAAACGAUGUGGGAAGGCCCAGACAGCCAGGAUGUUGGCUUAGAAGCAGCCAUCAUUUAAAGAAAGCGUAAUAGCUCACUGGUCGAGUCGGCCUGCGCGGAAGAUGUAACGGGGCUAAACCAUGCACCGAAGCUGCGGCAGCGACGCUUAUGCGUUGUUGGGUAGGGGAGCGUUCUGUAAGCCUGUGAAGGUGUGCUGUGAGGCAUGCUGGAGGUAUCAGAAGUGCGAAUGCUGACAUAAGUAACGAUAAAGCGGGUGAAAAGCCCGCUCGCCGGAAGACCAAGGGUUCCUGUCCAACGUUAAUCGGGGCAGGGUGAGUCGACCCCUAAGGCGAGGCCGAAAGGCGUAGUCGAUGGGAAACAGGUUAAUAUUCCUGUACUUGGUGUUACUGCGAAGGGGGGACGGAGAAGGCUAUGUUGGCCGGGCGACGGUUGUCCCGGUUUAAGCGUGUAGGCUGGUUUUCCAGGCAAAUCCGGAAAAUCAAGGCUGAGGCGUGAUGACGAGGCACUACGGUGCUGAAGCAACAAAUGCCCUGCUUCCAGGAAAAGCCUCUAAGCAUCAGGUAACAUCAAAUCGUACCCCAAACCGACACAGGUGGUCAGGUAGAGAAUACCAAGGCGCUUGAGAGAACUCGGGUGAAGGAACUAGGCAAAAUGGUGCCGUAACUUCGGGAGAAGGCACGCUGAUAUGUAGGUGAGGUCCCUCGCGGAUGGAGCUGAAAUCAGUCGAAGAUACCAGCUGGCUGCAACUGUUUAUUAAAAACACAGCACUGUGCAAACACGAAAGUGGACGUAUACGGUGUGACGCCUGCCCGGUGCCGGAAGGUUAAUUGAUGGGGUUAGCGCAAGCGAAGCUCUUGAUCGAAGCCCCGGUAAACGGCGGCCGUAACUAUAACGGUCCUAAGGUAGCGAAAUUCCUUGUCGGGUAAGUUCCGACCUGCACGAAUGGCGUAAUGAUGGCCAGGCUGUCUCCACCCGAGACUCAGUGAAAUUGAACUCGCUGUGAAGAUGCAGUGUACCCGCGGCAAGACGGAAAGACCCCGUGAACCUUUACUAUAGCUUGACACUGAACAUUGAGCCUUGAUGUGUAGGAUAGGUGGGAGGCUUAGAAGUGUGGACGCCAGUCUGCAUGGAGCCGACCUUGAAAUACCACCCUUUAAUGUUUGAUGUUCUAACGUUGACCCGUAAUCCGGGUUGCGGACAGUGUCUGGUGGGUAGUUUGACUGGGGCGGUCUCCUCCUAAAGAGUAACGGAGGAGCACGAAGGUUGGCUAAUCCUGGUCGGACAUCAGGAGGUUAGUGCAAUGGCAUAAGCCAGCUUGACUGCGAGCGUGACGGCGCGAGCAGGUGCGAAAGCAGGUCAUAGUGAUCCGGUGGUUCUGAAUGGAAGGGCCAUCGCUCAACGGAUAAAAGGUACUCCGGGGAUAACAGGCUGAUACCGCCCAAGAGUUCAUAUCGACGGCGGUGUUUGGCACCUCGAUGUCGGCUCAUCACAUCCUGGGGCUGAAGUAGGUCCCAAGGGUAUGGCUGUUCGCCAUUUAAAGUGGUACGCGAGCUGGGUUUAGAACGUCGUGAGACAGUUCGGUCCCUAUCUGCCGUGGGCGCUGGAGAACUGAGGGGGGCUGCUCCUAGUACGAGAGGACCGGAGUGGACGCAUCACUGGUGUUCGGGUUGUCAUGCCAAUGGCACUGCCCGGUAGCUAAAUGCGGAAGAGAUAAGUGCUGAAAGCAUCUAAGCACGAAACUUGCCCCGAGAUGAGUUCUCCCUGACUCCUUGAGAGUCCUGAAGGAACGUUGAAGACGACGACGUUGAUAGGCCGGGUGUGUAAGCGCAGCGAUGCGUUGAGCUAACCGGUACUAAUGAACCGUGAGGCUUAACCUU